rnacentral:rRNA from 1 species
UACAGAGGGUGCGAGCGUUGUCCGGAAUCACUGGGCGUAAAGGGCGCGUAGGUGGCCUGAUAAGUAGGGGGUGAAAUCUCGAGGCUCAACUUCGAGGCUGCCUCCUAAACUGUCAGGCUUGAGCAGAGUAGAGGCAGGUGGAAUUCCCGGUGUAGCGGUGGAAUGCGUAGAGAUCGGGAAGAACACCCGUGGCGAAGGCGGCUCUCUGGGACGGUACUGACGCUGAGACGCGAAAGCGUGGGGAGCGAACAGG